rnacentral:rRNA from 1 species
UAACCUGCCCAAGAGACUGGGAUAACACCUGGAAACAGAUGCUAAUACCGGAUAACAACACUAGACGCAUGUCUAGAGUUUAAAAGAUGGUUCUGCUAUCACUCUUGGAUGGACCUGCGGUGCAUUAGCUAGUUGGUAAGGUAACGGCUUACCAAGGCAAUGAUGCAUAGCCGAGUUGAGAGACUGAUCGGCCACAUUGGGACUGAGACACGGCCCAAACUCCUACGGGAGGCAGCAGAG